CUCACCUUUGGGUGGGAUGCUGGGUGUGGGAUUGGAGUUGUUGGGCUCCUUGCUUUGGGUUCCUGCUCAGUGUCUGUAGCACUAGGAAAAGCAAAACCCAUUAAUGGUGCAGUUUGUGACACAACUGAAGGCUUCUCUAAUGGGCAGCUCUCCCGCAAUCCCACUGUGCUCUGGCUUCAGAGGAAUUUGCUUGGCGUUGUGGUGCUCAGCUUCUCCCCCUCCAUUUCCCAAGCUCCAGAGACCAAUCCUUCCUUCGGCUGGUUUUGCUGCUGCUAUGGCAAUAUUUUCUCCCCCAUAGUGGUAAUCAUGCAAUGGUCUCUGAGAACAGCAGGAGAAGCGGUGCCUGUUAGAUGCAUAAAAGGGAUACAGUUUGGAAGACAUAACAGGCUGCUGGAGAUCUGAAUGCUUAUAAGCCUGACUCUGUCCUGUGCGUGUGCCCAAUGUAGCAGCAAAGGUGUGGAUUCCCUGGGUGAAUCACUGGGGAAACGUGGCACUUGUUGGCAGGGAAAAGGAAACACCAGUGGGAGCUGGCACGCGGCAGGGGCAGACCUGUGUGAAGAGUGAUGAACUAUAUGGAUGCUCAGAAGGCUCCGGAUCAGGCUUUGGGCUUGUCCUGUGUGAAGAAAAGCCCAUCUUGCCAUGCUCUGCUUGUCCUGGGCGCAGCCUCUGCUGCCCCAGUCCCCAUCCCUGCUACGCCACCACCUCUGAGAGUCAAGAGUUGGGAGCUGUGGUUGGAAAGGAACAGGACCUGUUACUGCAAACUGCUGGCUAGGAGGAGGAUGCUGCAGCAGGGUUACAAGCAGGGAUGGCUUCGUGCACUGCACUGUGGCAGCACCAGCUGCCUUUUCCUGAUGGCACCAGGUACCCGGGGCUCCAGAGCCAACUGCAUUUGCCCAUCCUAUUGCCAGUGAUUAAUUCCAUCAAAGAUGCUUUUUCUGUGCUCACUACAACUGUGUCCCGUCAGCCUCAGGUACUGGGCACUUGCUGACCUGUCUGCUGGCUCUGUCUUUGCCUUCCUAUCCCAGAGUCAGCAGGGUGAGCUGCUCGUCCUGGCAGCAUCCCAUUGCUGCCCAUUGUGAGGCAGACAGACAGAGCAGCAGCAGGAACCAAUUGUUCUAAACAGAUUUACCAGCUAGAAAGUUCCUUGCAAGAAAAAUAGAGCAGUGAGGGGCACAUGGUCCCGAGGAAGAAACAGGCUUAACUCCCCUGAGCCCUCCCUGCCCUGACAUGGCCCGGGUUUCUAAGCAGAUCAGAGUAAAAACCUCCUGUAGCUGGGUAAUUCCGCCUCUUUCCGAUAAGCCGGUAACCCCAUUAAUAGAGAGUCUGGCAUGGAGGGAGCUGUGCUGGGAAAGCGCUGCACCUCACCCUACACAGCAGAUUAAAAAGGACUUAAUCACAGAGCAGCCACAAAGUGCACUACAUGGCAUUAUUCCUCUGAAAUAAAAUUUUAUACACAGCCUAUCUGAGAGCGGCACAAAAUAAAUACUUUUAAAAUCUA